GCCAUAUCACAUUUAAACACUGGUUCUCAUCUGAUCACUGAAGUUAAGCAACAUUGAGCCUGGCCAGUAACUAAAUGGGUAACCAUUUGGGAAUAAUAAGUGCUGUA